rnacentral:rRNA from 1 species
CGUAGGGCGCAAGCGUUGUCCGGAAUUAUUGGGCGUAAAGAGCUCGUAGGCGGUUUGUCGCGUCUGCUGUGAAAGCCCGGGGCUUAACCCCGGGUGUGCAGUGGGUACGGGCAGACUAGAGUGCAGUAGGGGAGACUGGAAUUCCUGGUGUAGCGGUGGAAUGCGCAGAUAUCAGGAGGAACACCGAUGGCGAAGGCAGGUCUCUGGGCUGUUACUGACGCUGAGGAGCGAAAGCAUGGGAGCGAACAGGAUU